AGUGAACGCUGGCGGUAGGCCUAACACAUGCAAGUCGAACGGCAGCACAGAGGAGCUUGCUCCUUGGGUGGCGAGUGGCGGACGGGUGAGGAAUACAUCGGAAUCUACUCUGUCGUGGGGGAUAACGUAGGGAAACUUACGCUAAUACCGCAUACGACCUACGGGUGAAAGCAGGGGAUCUUCGGACCUUGCGCGAAUGAAUGAGCCGAUGUCGGAUUAGCUAGUUGGCGGGGUAAAGGCCCACCAAGGCGACGAUCCGUAGCUGGUCGGAGAGAAAGAGCAGCCACACUGGAACUGAGACACGGUCCAGAAUCCUACGGGAGGCAGCAGUGGGGAAUAUUGGCCAAUGGGCGCAAGCCUGAUUCAGCCAUACCGCGUGGGUGACGAAGGCCUUCGGGUUGUCAAGCCCUUUUGUUGGGAAAGAAAUCCAUCUGGUUAAUACCCGGAUGGGAUGACGGUACCCAAAGAAUAAGCACCGGCUAACUUCGUGCCAGCCGCCGCGGUAA
rnacentral:rRNA from 1 species